GUGACCCAGGCAGGGGACUCUGCAGGUGCAAAGGCCUGGAGGCUGAGCUGAGGACACUGGCGAUGAGGAAGGAGGGCAGAGUCCCUGGGAUGGCUACAGUUAAGGGGACCACAGCGGGGGGUCAGGGAAAACCAUGUAGCCCAAGGCCACUGUGCAUAAGGCAGGGGCGCGUUUGACCCUGGUCUGAGUCCAGGCUGUUUUACACAAAGGUUAGAGGACAGGAUUGCAGCAGGAGAGAAGGACAGAGACAGAAGCCUGGGCUGAGAUGCCCAGGGCAGGUGGGACCCAGGUCUCGUGGGAGCCAGCCCCGCUCUGAUUGCCCCACAGGACCAGGCACUGAAAGGGGAUCCCGCGGGGGGCUCAGACAAGCCCUGAGGAAGCCAAAGGGCCUGAUUGCCUCCACGUGGCCUUGUCUGUGCAGGGAUCAGAACAGCCUCUCUCCUCACCACCCCCCGCCUUGGUUUCUCCCUCCUCCCUAGAGAGAGGCGCUCAUCCUUUUGACCCACCCUGCAACAGCUGCCAAGCCCGGCCCAGAGCCCCGCCCACCAGUCCUGAGAGCCUGGCCGGCCUCUGCAAGGGGACCAGGGACACAGACCAGCUAACAAAGGAAAGGGGGCAGCAAGGCAGGGACAAAAAGCACAACCCAACAUGGAGAUGAACGAGGACACAAGAGCCACCCUCCAGGAGCUCCAUCCGCCUGGAGGCUGCCCUGCAUGAAGCGGGCAUGGAGCUCAUGACGCGUCCGAGGAAACUGGAGAGGGCAGAUCAACCGUCGUCUGAAACAACAGGCCGCCUCCCUCACCAUCAAUGCACAGCUUGGCGUUGGCAGCACUGCCUGGCGAGGGGGCCAAGCCUGUUCCACCUGCUGAGGGUAAUCUCCCCACACUGAGACCCACUAAGUUUGACUUAAUAGUCCAGUUGCCAUGGCAACCCUCACUGCUGGUUCUCCCCAUGUCAUUCUUCAUCGCAAACCCUGCUAGGAACUUCUUGCUUCAAUUGGAAACUUAUGGUUGCCAAGGCAACCCCCUUAAGGCGCCCUGAGGAUGCAGGUGGGCUGCAGGUGAGGGUGGGAUCUGCCCACUGAGGCUGGGAUGGCUGAUGGUGGGCAGAGCCGGGGAGGGCAACCGUGGCGUGAGGUGAAUAGGUUUGGGCCAGAAGAACAUGAGGGCAAAAGGGGGACUCUGGAAAGAGAGGACAAUGGCCUCCACAAACGCACUCACUCAUUCACUCCUUUACCUGCUUGUAAGCCGUUCAUUCACUCGCUCACCUGCACAGUCCGCCACUAGAGCCCCUGUUCCGUCUUCCGGCUCUCUUGUUUCCCGCAGGCUGGGUGGAUGGAGGAGUGGGCAGAGCCCUCCACACACGCACACAGCCCACAUGGAAAAGCAGGAACAGAAGGAGCACCGGCUUGGAGUCAGACAGACCUGGGUUUCAUUUAGAUUCCUGACUCUCCUCAUUUAUCAGUAGAGACGUCCGGGCAGCACAGAACGGACCAGAAGCCCCCUAGAAGUGUGAGGACUGAAGGUGGCGGUGAGAAGGAAGAGCGUGACCCUGGGAAGUGGGGAGUGUGUCCCCCACCCCCGCUCACCCGUCAGAGGGGAAACCACGGCUCAGAAACAAGUGACACAUCCAAGGCUCACAGUGACCACAGGCCACGCAGACCCGAGACUCAAACCAGUAUUUGACCCCACCUGACAUCCGUCACGUGCCCAUUUGACUGUUCGGAGGCAGCCCCGUGACAGCAGGGGUCUGGCUGAGUCGCAUCUGCACCCCACGGUCUGCCUCAGCAGCAGCCACACGGCCGGGGCUCAGUGGAGGUCUGCCAGUUCCACGAAAGAAUGAAACACAGCAGUGGAGGCGAGUCAGAGCUACUGGAAGGGCAGGGGUCCGAGGCUUUGGGCCCGGGCCUGUCUUCAUCACAGGUGUGGGACCGAGAGGGGCACAAACUUAUGCUUCACGUAGUCAUUCAACAAAUGUUUAAGGACACGCCUUCUUGCCAAGUCCUGUGCUGGCACUCAAUGUGCCAAGUGGAGUCUCCGGAGAGGCCCCUGACUGCAUGGGAGACGUGCUGGGGGCUGGGGGACCCUUGGAAGGAGAACCUCACCCAGUCUUGGGCCUCAGGGAGGGUUUCCUAAAGGAAGUGAUGUCUGAGUUUAGUCUCAGGAUGAGUAGCAUUUAGCCAGGGGAGGAGGAAGCGUGUCCCAGGCAGAAGACACAGCACAGCCAAUGGCCCAGCGUAGGACGGAGCGUGAGCACUGGGAGAACCGCCCUGUUCCAGUGUGGCUGCGGCAGAGAGCGCGAGGGAGGCCAAGGCGGGAGUGCUCAGAACAAACCAGAGUGUGGAGGCCCUGUGGGCGGGCAGAGGAGCCUGGGCCCCGUGCCGAGGGUGAUGGAGAGCACACCCUGCACUGUCCCGCCUGCCCCCGGUCAGUCCCAAGGACACAGCAACUCAUUUCCAUUUCUGGGCUUUCAUGCUUGUUGUUCCCUCUGCCUAGAAAGCUCUUCCCUGACUCUCCACCCUGGCUCGCCUCCUCCUUCCGGUCUAGGCAGGAGGAUGGGCUGCUGAGAGGCUGACCCUGGGCAGCCAAGAGCAGUGGACGCCUCCAGGACUACACGUCCCAGCACCCUCUCUGGGUCCUGCAGCGUCUGUGGCAGACGGCUUCGCGGCUCCCAGUUCUCCGCCUCCCGCAGCCACAACCUUCUCUCAGUGGCUUUGUGCGAUCGCCCACCAGGGAUGGUGCAUUCUCCCACCACACUGACUAGGGCCUUGACCCUGAGACUUGCUUUGGCCAGCGGGAUGUGGGCAGAGGUGAGAGAGCCCCAGUUCUGAGCCUUAACAGGCACUGCAGGUUCCUCUUUGCCGCCUUGCCCUCCCACCAUCCUCAUGGGACAGAAAUGUCCCAAGUCGCCCAAGGAUGAGGCCUGCGGAGCAGCCCUGGAGCAAGCCCCCCUGAGCCCAGCUGGAUCCCGUGAUCCCCAGCUGAUCUGCAGACUUGUGAGCGAGAACAAAUGGUUGUUGUCUGAAGCCACUGAGUUUGGGGUUGUUUGUUAGGUGGCAUUAUUGUGACAAUAGAUGACUGAUACACAGUA